UUACGACCGUAUCACGUUGAAACACCAGUUCCCCUACGAUCAACAAAGUUAAGCAAUGUUGAGCUUGGUCCGAACCUAGAUGGGUAACCAUUUGGGAAUACCAAGUGCUGUAAG